ACAUCGGAAGAAUUGCUUAUGAGUUCACCGAGAAGACCUCCAUGUAGUUGUAGAAAGUGUUGAUAAUAAGACUGAGAAGCUGAUUAACCUCAGCCUGGAAAGCAAACGUCUCUCUGUCCGCCAUUUUUUGGUAGAUCUAAAGAGUUGUUGCUACUAUGAAAAAAGAAUCUCAGGCGAAGUGAAACAUAGAGGGACUCGAAAGUAAGAGGGGGUUUACAGGCAGUUUUUAGUGACUUCAUAUUGAGAAAAACUUACUUGAAAUGCUUUCUAAACCAUCUCAACAUGCCUUGUUAUAGCCUCGUCAGCUAAUUUUACACCCAUUCACACGUAACUUUUUCUUUAACAAUUCCCAAAAAUAAAUUUGAUGAGUGACUGUGAAGUUACGAAUCGGAGACCAUGUAGUACUCCAAUUUUCCUACUCCCAGAGAUGAGAAAAGUCGGUUCAAAUUGCACCUAUUUACAAAACAAAAGAAAAUUAGAAAGAAGAAGAGAUUUCAAAGACACAAGCAGAUAAUCCAUUGAGAAUUACAUAUUCCUGAGAAAUUAUGAAUUAGAAUCCUACAAAACUUCAUACUCCAAGCAAAGGAGUGUUUCCUAUAAGGAGUGCUAACAACACCUCUGCAGAAAUCUCAGUUGCACAGACACUUCACUUUCAAUGCCACAUUCGUGUUGAAUUCUUCAAAUAUACACUACUUUUAGAGAAUUUGACAUGCAACCAUUGAUAUUUUUGAAG
rnacentral:lncRNA from 1 species